ACAGCCAGUGAAACUCAACAGCCUGUGUACUCCUCUCUUCUCCACGGUGACGUUUCUGUCUAUGAAUCCAUCAGAGGAUCCAAAAAUACCACAGAUGGUACAACUGGUGCAUUCCCUUCGCAUCAUCUGACUGGUCUCGACAAAAGUGAUGAACUGGGGGGACAUGAUGAUCCAGAGGAGAGCUCUGACUAUUAUAACAUGAGGGAAGAACUGGCCAACGGUCCAUGAAGAGAAGUGUAUCAUCAGCAAAACAAGAGAUUCACAGAUCACAACAAGCAACCUUGGAAGCAACAAAACAUGAAUGCUGCAUAAGUCUGAGUUUAUUCAUUCAUUCAUUAUUAA